CCGGCCAAGGAGAUGUCGCAGGGGAGCUUCUCCCGUGGCCAUGCCGUGCCCCUCGCUCGGUAUCCCUCUCGGCCCUAGUGGCCUCCCUCCCAUUAGUUGCCCAGAAUGUGGGGAUCGGGUGGUGGAGGACAAGUCAUGGAAGAAUAGCGGCAAGGUGCCAGGAUGCUGUCGUUUUUUCAAGUCGAUUUCAGAGUACAGAAAAGGUGCUCGCAGCAAUGAGCAACAUCUGAGUGCAGAUUGGGUUCCCAGUUGCAGUGGUGCCAAUCAUGGUCCUGUUCCCAAUUUAGUUGGUGCAUAGUUGAAGCUCAUGCCUAAUUUGCGUGCUGAAGAAAAGAUGGACAAGUUAAUAAAUCUGGUUCAGUUUCUGGUGGUGAUUAGUGUCCUCAUUUGUGUUGAGUGUUUUUUGGUGUGGUAGUACUGCUUGUCAAGUGAUGUGGUGUAUCAGUGAUGGAAGAUGUAAUGUCCAUUUCUAAAUGUAAUUGGUACUGUCUUGCAAUGAAAAUGAAGUUGGCUGCAAAUUGGUGACAA